GUGUGUGUUUGUCGCCACACAGUACUGUUUUGGUUUGGUUAUGGCACAUAUUCGUGUAUUGUUUAUUUUAUUUGAUAGUGUUCAGUGCUUUUCUUAUUAAAAUCGUCAUGAACACUUACCACGCCGCAUCUUGGUGCGAGCCUUACUCCUCUUCAAACGAAGAGGAAAUCUGUCGUUACAAUUUCAACAGUCCCUGAAGGACAAUACAGAAGAGGCACAAAGGGGACUCGAGACCACAGCAGCGAUCCUGCUUUUGCCCAACCUCUUCAAUGAGGACCCGAGUGGCCUUUAUGUCCGUGACAAGAUUUCACCGCUCCCCACUCCUUUACUGCACAUCGACGGAAAUCCAUUUCACCAUGAGAGUGAAAUCCCGCUGGCCUUUGAUGGGGAGAACAUGCACGCCCUAGAGGACAUUCCCAUGGGACUUGUGGCUCUGCUAGGGCUUUUAUUUCCCAAAUAUUUCUGAGAAACACUUAUAUUCUUAAGUUACUGUGUUCUGGGGAUAAGAGAUGUUGGGGUGAAGUUACCAGUGCCGGUCAUAAAGAUGGCAAACUUCCUAACAUAACUAAGUGGUUGUUGGGCAAGUGGUUUAGGACACAGACACACUCAAGCAAAAAAAAUCUGUAUUUAGCAUUAAGUCUCUUGUUAGUUUACCUAUGCUUCAUUUUUAAUGUAUCUUGUUUUUAUUGUACAUUUUUAAAUAAAAAGUUGUAAUGAAAAGCA